rnacentral:rRNA from 1 species
AUUGAACGCUGGCGGAAUGCUUUACACAUGCAAGUCGAACGGUAGAGGGGGCAACCCCUUGAGAGUGGCGAACGGGUGAGUAAUAUAUCGGAACGUGCCCAGUCGUGGGGAUAACGUAGCGAAAGUUACGCUAAUACCGCAUACGAUCUAAGGAUGAAAGCGGGGGAUCGCAAGACCUCGCGCGAUUGGAGCGGCCGAUAUCAGAUUAGGUAGUUGGUGAGGUAAAGGCUCACCAAGCCAACGAUCUGUAGCUGGUCUGAGAGGACGACCAGCCACACUGGAACUGAGACACGGUCCAGACUCCUACGGGAGGCAGCAGUGGGGAAUUUUUGGACAAUGGACGCAAGUCUGAUCCAGCCAUUCCGCGUGCAGGAUGAAGGCCCUCGGGUUGUAAACUGCUUUUGUACGGAACGAAAAGGUUUGUCUUAAUACGAUGAGCUCAUGACGGUACCGUAAGAAUAAGCACCGGCUAACUACGUGCCAGCAGCCGCGGUAAAGUG